CUGCCAGCUGUUCCUUUGGCUUUUGACCGUCCUGUGAUAGAUGUUCUAAUACCACCAGUAGGAUAGGACAGCCUGUUGUACCACCUAUUGGACUGGAAGACCGCAAAUACGAAGUGAUGAAUGAUGGACAGCCUGAGAAGUACUAGGGCCUCCUACAAACCUGGAGGGUUAUCUGUAGGACUGGAGAACCAGAGGACCAGAGGACUGCCAGCAAGACCGGGAAAUGCCUGCAGGACAAUCAGCUGCAGGAGCAGCGUGCCACGUUCAGGACUGGAGUUAACGCCUUUUUUGUGUGCUACGGAAUAUACUUAUUCAAAACCUUGUUUACCAUGAAAAAAA